CGGGAUGUAGCAUAGUCUGGAAGUGUAUUUGCUUUGGGAGUAAAAUGUCGUAGGUUCAAAUCCUGCCAUCCCGA
rnacentral:tRNA from 1 species